rnacentral:rRNA from 1 species
GACGAACGCUGGCGGCAGGCUUAACACAUGCAAGUCGAACGCCCCGCAAGGGGAGUGGCAGACGGGUGAGUAACGCGUGGGAAUCUACCGUACCCUACGGAAUAACGCAUGGAAACGUGUGCUAAUACCGUAUACGCCCUACGGGGGAAAGAUUUAUCGGGGUAUGAUGAGCCCGCGUUGGAUUAGCUAGUUGGUGGGGUAAAGGCCUACCAAGGCGACGAUCCAUAGCUGGUCUGAGAGGAUGAUCAGCCACAUUGGGACUGAGACACGGCCCAAACUCCUACGGGAGGCAGCAGUGGGGAAUAUUGGACAAUGGGCGCAAGCCUGAUCCAGCCAUGCCGCGUGAGUGAUGAAGGUCUUAGGAUUGUAAAAUUCUUUCACCGGGGACGAUAAUGACGGUACCCGGAGAAGAAGCCCCGGCUAACUUCGUGCCAGCCGCCGCUGUAAUAC